GUUGUCGUGGCCGAGUGGUUAAGGCGAUGGCCUAGUAAUAUUUAGGGAUUUUCCCGCGCAGGUUCCAUUCCUGCCGACAUCG
rnacentral:tRNA from 1 species